CUUUACUGCAACUUGGCAGUGAGUUUCGGGACAUUCUGCGUAGGAUAAGUGGGAGGCUUUGAAGUCGGGCUUCUGGGUUCGAUGGAGCCAACGUUGAAAUACCACUCUGGAUGUUCUGGGAUUCUAACCUGCGUCCGUGACCCGGACGAGGGACACUGCCUGGUGGGCAGUUUGACUGGGGCGGUCGCCUCCCAAAAUGUAACGGAGGCGUGCGAAGGUUCCCUCAGCCUGAUUGGAAACCAGGCGUAGAGUGCAAACGCACAAGGGAGCUUAACUGCGAGACCGACAGGUCGAGCAGGUGCGAAAGCAGGCGUUAGUGAUCCGGUGGUUCCGAAUGGAAGGGCCAUCGCUUAUCGGAUAAAAGGUA
rnacentral:rRNA from 1 species